CCACUGUGCGUUUUCCCCUAGGCUUACCUGUAUAUUGUCUUCCAAACAUAUUUUCUGGGGACUUAUUUUGCCUCUCUAUAAUCAUUGAAAAAUGUUACCAUACCUGGUAAAAAUGAUGAAGAAUAUUAUUCUAUCAUCACAUACUUACAGCUUGCUCUUAUUAAGCCUUUGAGUUGCAUUUAUGUUACAAGAAAAUAAAAGGUCCAGGCAACCGUGAUGAGCGACAAACAGGUUUUAGUUGGAAAACUGGGAUGCCCAAAGCAAAAUUUUGGCCACGCAAUGUGGCCUUGGUCAAAUCUUGACCAGGACUACAAAGCAUGGCCAAAACAUUGUGUUGUUUGUCCCAGUUUCCUGAUUGGAGCCUGCUUAUCACUAAUCACAGCUGCCUGGACCUUCUCUUUUCUUGUAACAUAGUGAUUGAAGGUUUCCAACUCUGGCAACAGUAUACAAUUUGAUGAUAUUGGACUGAUUGUUUCUUCUGAGUGCAGU